AUACAUCAAUGUGAGACAUUCUUGAAAUGUAGACCAUAUUGAAUGAACUCUAAGACAAGAAAGGUUCUGUUCCCUCAUCAAUGUCAGAUCACAAACUAUUGUACUCAUUACAUAAUUCCUGUCAUACAAUCAUGCAUAAUGGGAGAUCUUUGCUUCAAAAGCAAUUCAAAGUUCACAUGCCAGAAACUAAGGAGAGAAAAAAAAACGAUUAAAGGAAGAAAAUCUCCAUCAGAGAACCAGCAGUAGCAGACAUUUGCAUGCUUAGCGGGGCCAACACUAAUAGAUAGGUAGGUAUAUUUCAUGUUCUACUCUGUAAUAUAAUGGCAGGCACCUACCUUUUACUGCUUUGUGAUGUAUGAUGCGUGAAUUUUGUAAAUUUGUAAGCUACUAUGAAAGAUCUCAAUGAUAAUAAGUACCAGAAUUCAAUAGCUCAA